CUGAAAUUGAACCCGUCUGAUAAAGACCAGCACCGAAUAGGGUACGGCGAGUGGUUUCAUCAGCAGCAUUCCCCGCAGGGAGGAAAGUGCUCGUUGUUGCUGCAGUGGUUGACGCUGUGAUGUUUCCAGCGGUUGUCACGCCCAGUGCCGUGCGAAGGGUUUUACGGGCCUAAGGCAAGUUUUAAAAAUAAAUUUAUAUACAACUAUAAAGAAAACAAUUUUCUAAUACGAUAUAUCACCUUCGCAAAAUACAUAAGUUUAACACUUACAAGAAUAAGUUUAUUACGUAAAUAUGUUAUAUUAUGUCCUAUAAAAAAAGUAUAUAGAUUUAGAAAUUGAGUUAUUCGAUUUUCGUGAAAAGUUUUUUUUUAGAAAUAACUUUAAGCAACUAAAUUAGAAAUUAUUUUAAAUUUUGAAGCCCUAGAAAAUGUAAUAUUAUUCGGGGGCCUAAGGCGAAUGCCUUUUUCAAUACACUGUAGGCACGCCUUUGGUCACGCCAGUUGCUGCAGCGUUGAGUGGAGUCUGAAUGACAUCCGAGGUGUCCAUGGGAGUGGGGGUGUUGUUCUCGUUUGUCAUUUUCCUGUAGAGAAAACAUGAAAACGGAUUAGUACUCCAUUCAACAAUUAACAUAUUAUUUUAAAGAAAAUAAUAGUCUAAAAUCGAUCUUCAUUUUUGGUGUUUGAACCAAAUCAUAUCGAUAUAAGUCUUGAAAAACCGUUUUGCAAACUCGCUUAAAAGCGUUCGCAGAAACCAUUUUUAUAGACUGAGAAUGUUUCACAAACUCGCUUAAGAAAGCGAUCUUGAAACGAUUCAUUUAUAGAACGUUUUGAAGAUGUAUCAAAAACGUUUUGCGAAAAAAUGCUAAAAAGCAAUCCGCAAAUCGUAAUGAAAUAAAACAGAAACGUUUCGCGGAAGUACUAUAAAGCAAAUCGCAAACACGUUUUUAGAAUAACGCUGAAACGUUUCGCGGAUAAGCGUAUAGCAAAUCGCAAACAUCGUUAUGAGAUAAGAGCAAAACGUUUCGCGGAAGUGCUAUAAAGCAAAUCGCAAACACGGUUCCAAAACCCGUUCUAUUAAUCGUUUUUCAACCCGAUUCGAGCUUUAGACAUAAAGCGAUUUUGAGUUAAGAUUGUAAAUGCCAGUAAACCGGACUGAUGUAAACGAUAUAAUAAAAGCGAAGUUAAGGAAAUAGACGAAUAUAGAAAACGAAUACGAGAACAAUAAGAAAUCGUAUUCGCAACGAGACAUGGAGGCGAGAUAUGAUCUCUUUCCUUAACUCAAAAUAUUCGCUCCGUUAGUGAGACGGAACUGUACGAAUAUAGAGUCCCAGGAUACAACCAUGGCAGACGAAUCACGCCUCACUCGUGAUCGCCCUAUCGAACUAUAAACUCUACGAAACACUCUCGUUUUUAUGACUUACUCUAAGGGAAUUUUGAUGCUGGUUUCGAUGUGAAAAAUUUAAAGAAAAUGAGAAGAGGAGAGUCCGUAUUUAAAUAGAAGACUAGGAGCGGUUUUUCGAAACUGUUGCGAACGUUUUCCGAAAAUCUCGCAACGAUCUCGGAGUGGAACGUUGAGCAGCUUUCUCCGCAAGUUUCUCUCUAGUUGACUCGUAUUGAUCCAUUUCGAACAGAUAAACUUUGUGUUUUUUUUAAACGAACUACAUGUCGUUUAUACACAAAUGUCAUGCUGUUUUUUAGAAAUAAAAUGGCAAAGCGUUGAGCUUAACUUGGUCCAAAAAGAAUAAUACUUAUCGGGCCUAGUGUCCUCCAUCCAAGCCCAAGCCGGGCUCAGCCCGGCCGGCGGCGGCGGCGCGCGUGGAGAUCUUUCUUCUCUCUCCAAGCUGUUUAAGCUUUCAUGGUAAGUGAACAUAUAUAUAUUGCUCAACUUCUCUUCCUCUAAACGAUGUGGGACAAGUUCCCUUACAUCAUUUGCUUUUCACAUAUUUCAUUAAAGCCUACAGGCUAUUAAUGGAUCCAACAUGCAUACCAUGCACUAAAGGUUGGACCCUGCUCUCCCUCAAUUCUCAUGUUAGGUUAAUGAGCCAACAGUCGGUCUGAAAACACCUCAGGCAAAAAAAAAGAAGAAAAAAAAGCAAAACAAAGAUUGUUGACGAAUGUCUUCAAGGUUCGAUGAGAUUUCCCCCUGAUUUUAGAGACAAAUAACUCGAGUGUUGAGACCUUCUCGAUGGGUAUCUCCGAUCUUAUCUUUACUAAGAAGAGACGUAAAAACAGAAUCUUCUUCUCUAUUCGUUUUCGAUUAAAAAAAAUUUGUAACAAGAUCAAUUCAAAUAUAAAUACCACAAAAUGAGAUACUAACAAAGCUCUGUAACUUGUUUUUCUUUUUUCCUUCGUAUUUUUCGAAAGAAGGAUACAUAAACUGAAAAUAUAUUAUAUCCACCAAAAGCUCUGGGGAGCCGACUUCUCCCAUGCGCCCAUAUCUCUAGAGACAAUCUCCUAGAUUUGUUACACAUCUCAACUCAAAUUAAAAUCACAAAGUAAGCAAAGAAAAAAAUCAUCAAGAUUUGGGUUAUAAAGGAAGGAAAAUAGGUUGAGAGGAACUGGAAUCAUGGAAAGGAAGAGAUUAUAAAAUAGGAAGUCGGAUUCUUCCUGGAGAAGGCGCCUGAGAGAAGAGAUGUUCCACAACUGCGGCGAGCACCACCGUGUAUUCCUUCACCAUUUCGGCCAGUGCCGUCACCAGCAACAUUUUUGCUUACUUUAUUAUCUCAAUCGAAUUUUAUUUUCUUCUUUUUCGUUCUCUGUUUUUCUCUUAUUUUUACACAAUUCUCUUUAUUUAUAUAGCUGGAGAGGGGAAGUAAAACCUAGGGGUGUCUGCUACCAUAUCCGCUCUUUGUUUUCUAAUUCUUUUUAAUUUAUCACUUUAUCAAGAUUUCUAUUUGACUAGUCAGAUGUGUAAGAAUACCAAAAAAUAUUUUGAGUUAAUUUUGUAGUAAUAUUUAUGUUGAUUACUUUAGAAAAUUUUAAAUUACCAGAUGAAAAAAAUAAAAUAAAACAGUUUCAAAAUUACCACUACAAAAUUAAAUCAUUUUCGGUAAAUAAUACAAACUUGACAUUUUUACUUUCCUUUUUUUAAUUAGUUUAUAUUAUAUGGUAAUUAUUUUUCGGUAUUGUAAUAAUAAUAAGAACCAAUAGAAUGGGAAAUUAAUUGAAAAUUUUAACAGCAUUGAUUUUCUACUAAAUAUCGACAAUAAAUUUGAUUAAAAUUAUAGUAGUUGCGACAAAAGUCGUCUAGUUUGGACAAUAAAAAAAGUGUUUGAGGAGAAAAAUUGCAUUGGACAUGCACCUGGCCAUUUUUUUUCAUGAUGCAUGACACACUUCGAAACCGUGUGAUGUUUAUCCGGUCGAUAUCUAUCUUGCUUCCAUAUGGCAUGCGUCAUGUAACAGCUACGUCCCACAAUUAAAAAUAAAUUAUUUAAUUACAAAUCUAUACUAUUAAAAGAAACAUUCUGAAAAAAUCUACUUAUGAAAGGUUGUUUGACCAUUUCAUUAGAAUUAAAAAAAUUUUGGUCCUAAACUAAUUACUCUAAUUAUACAUAAUUAAUAACUUUAACAACCCGUUUAUCUUUUUGUGUUACCAUGAAAAAUUAAUAAAAUCUCCUAAUAUCGUGGGAUCACAAUCAUUUGUUGUGCAUGGAUAUUAAAGUCACUAAAAUCACAAUCAUAUGAAAGAUAAAGUAAUAUUUCAUAUUCCAUACAUCAACUAAUAAUAUCAUUAAACAUAUUGUACAAUAACAUCUUACAUUAUAUAGUUUCAAAUAUUUUCAAAAUAAAAUUUAAUAAAAACCACUUUAACAAAUCAUAUGUUAAAACAAAAUUAUAUAUAUAUAUAUAUAUAUAUAUAUAUAUAUAUAUAUUACGUUAACUUAAGUUUUAUAAUAAGCAUUAUAAUAAAAAAAAUUAUUAAGAAAAUUUUAUAACUUAUUAAUAACCUUACAAAUAUGUUCUAUUGAAUUAUUUAAAAAAAAACUACCAAGUAAACCUUAGGCCAUAUCAAUUUAACAAAUGUAACUCUUAUAAAAUACACACAAAAUAUAAUGAGAGAGUAGGUUUAAGUAUCCGGGUCAGUUCUUUUCUAUCUAGGUUUUUUCGUGUCCAAAUGUUAUUUGAAUUUUUUUUCAUGUCAGAAUUGGUAUGUAAUCAUAAUUCAAAUACAUAUUAAAUAUAUGUAAUAUUUGAAUACAUAGCAGGUCUAGGUCGGUUCAGAUAUUUAAAGUCUAAAAAGAAUAAGUACCUGAAAACCUACAUAAUGAUCUGAAACUUGAAAAAUAUUAGAAAACCUAACAAAUACUCAAAAUGUAUUAAAAUAUCCGAAAAAGAUCUAAACUUUUUCCCGAGAUAUAACCCGAGAAACUAAAAAUAUCCAAACUUUUAUCUGAAUAUCCAAAUUUUUUUUUUUUAAUUUAGAAUUUUAUCUGAAACCUGAAAGUAUAACUGAAAACUCAAACCCAAAACAAACAAAAAAAAUAUCUAUAAUACCAAAAAUAUAUUUGAAAUACUCAAUAUACUAAUAUACUCAAAACAUUUCAUGUACUUUGGGUAUCCGAGUCUUGACUAGGAUCCGUACUAAACCAAGAUAUGUUGGUCCGAAAAAAUACCCAAUAUAUACAUUUCCUUGGACCCGGUUCUCAUCAGUUUUAUUUUUGGAUUUGAAUAAAUGCCUAGACUUAAGAGAGAGAGAGUUAUAUAAAAAUGUAUAUACAAAAUCUCAAAUAAACUAAUUGAUAAGUCAUAUAAUUUUAAACUAAUUGUUCUCGAUAUAAUACGAUUUUGUAACAUAAUAAUGUACAAUAAACCCAAAAUACUAAUUCAUAUUAAACUUUAUCUAUAAUCCAAAGCCCGCGCUUUCGAAGCGCGGGUCAAAAUCUAGUUAAUCUUAAAAUGAUUGUCUAGAUUUGAUCUAUAAGAUGUAGACACUGAUUGAUUAAGAAAGAUUUAUUAUUGAUUUAAGAACGAAUUACUUACAAGGGACGCAUUAACACAUUCUCUGUUCCAAUAAUACUUCCCCACAAAAACUUGUCUUAAAUAACACUUAGAUAAUUAGAUCAACUCUAUGGCACCAUAAGACAUCUUGUAAGUAGAAAUGAAUCUAAAGCAACCAAGAAAAUUAUAUGAAUAAGGAAGAGAAAAUGUUUCAAAAAAAAGAGAGAGGGAAAUCUUUAUAUAUAAAGUACAGUUCUCUCAAUCCUGGUGCCUCCACGUCACCCGCCAGCUAGAUAAGUCGUUCUUUCUACACGCGACACGUGUCUGAAGCGCUGCGUUUCAUUAAAGCUUACCGUGAUGGGCUUUUUCUGUUUGAUGCGUGUUGGGUUCUGAGAAAGGAGGCUGCGUCCAGCCCAGAAGAGAGGUGCUUCGCGUUGUAACCCUAAUUGCUAGAUCGAGACUGCGUAUCGACUUUCCUUUCUUGCAGAGGAGAUGAAAUUCCUCAGAUUCUGAAAGCCAUAAACGUGGGGAGCUGAUGGGCUGGGUAUGCUCUUACUGGAUUCAAGGGUGAUUAUGUUCUUAAACUCAUGUUCAUGAUCCACUGCAUUGAACAUGUUCUUAAUUUCUUUAUCCACGAUCUACACUUCAAUAUGUGUUAAUCUUCUUAGAUGUGGUGUUUCUCCGAGUAUAAAAAAGUAUGCUUUGCUCCCCUCCAAACCAUCUUCUAUAUCUCUCAAACUAUACUAUCUUCAUCUUCAACAUUUGCUCGAGUGGACUAUGAUAUACAUCAACAACUUCGAGUUGAUGAGAAAUAGAGAUUAUAGGCUCAAACCGAAGCUGUCAAUCUUCUCUGCGGUGCCAAAACCCAGAUAAAGGAAUUAGAGUCUUGACUACGCCUACUCUGAUUUUGAUUUCAAGGAGUUAGAGUAAAAUUAAGAUCAGUCGGGUUCAUGAGAGGAUUAUAAAGUAAAAGGAUUUUGAUUUCAAGCAGAGUUGCGGAUCUCUGUUUAGAUCGGCAGUUGAGUUUCCGACAACUAAACAACGUAGCAGAACGAUGAACGUGUCUUCGUCUUCUUAGAACUUUCGCAUUAACUCUUGAUUGGAGUGAUUUGUGGUGUUGAUCAUGAGGAUCUAAAGAGCAUAAACAUUAUAUCUAAAUCGAAAGAGGAGCCUGGCUAAGUGUUAAUACACGCCUUUCCUCUUCCUGGACUUGGAAAAUGAUUGGAUGAUGAGGAGAAGGAAGCCAUUCUUACAGGUGUUUAGCACAGGUACUUGCAAAACUGUAACACCAAGAAUCAACAGCCAAAUGAUUAUUGUUUUCCCUGGAAGCCCAAUCAAGUAUGAAAAGAAUGCCUUGGAGGUUGUUGGGAAAAAUUCAAAAAGAAUAGUGUCGCUCUUCACAUUGUCAAUUUUUGAGUAGAUAAUGACGAGGAAAAACCUCAGAAACUGGAGCCCCUCCUUUCAGCCGUCAAUAACAACGACGGUAGCCACAUUGUUCAUAUUCCUUCUGAAGCCAAUGCUUUCUCGAUGUCCUUCUCAGAUAUUAUAAACAGAACAGUCCAGACAUUAGAUCUAGGUUGACGACAACAUUGGAUGUGAUUGUAUAUCUCUAUAUCAUUGAUACACAUUUUAUUUUCUAAAUAAUAUUGAAAUUUUUUUUGAAUUAUAAAACCACAACAAAAGCCAUAUUUUAGACUUAAAAAAAAAAGAAAAACAAAUACAGAGCUGAACUAAUAUUUAAAUUUUAAAUUAAUAAAAAUUUAUAUUAAAUAUUUAUUUUAACUAUUCGAAAUAACAUUGCGGGCCGACUCUAGUUACCUAUAAUAACAUACAUUUUGUGUGUAAUGACUAGAAUAACAUACAAAAAAAAAAAAAGUGUGUUAAAGUCCAAAAUACCCAAUCUAUUAAAUUAAUUAAGCCAAUUUAAAAAAUAAACACUCCUAAACCACUAGUAAAAAUACAGUUAUGUUGACAAAAAUAAAAUGUAAAAGCUUUAAAAAUAAAACAUAAAACCUAAUGACAACUCUCUUUCCCGUGACCCCAAGAACCCUAAAUCCCCAAAAUGGGAAAUCCUCAAACUCUUGAUUCUCUUUCUUUUUAACAUGAUUCCUCAUCGAUUCGGUCAUGUCGCCCCUAUACUCUACCAUUAAAACAUUUGAUUCACAUAGGAGAAAGUGAAUCCGAAACCCAGUCGACGAACCCUAAAUCCCCUUUCUGAAAUUCACAGUUCCGUCGAUCUCAAGCCUUUCAUCACUUAUUCUCGUUGAUUUCCAACUACUAUAAGCUCAUAUCCGCUUCAAUCAGUUUAUUUCAUCCAUUCAUGCAAUCUAAGAAGCAAUCUUCUGGAAAUAUACAAUCUAUCUUUGGACCACCAAGGAAUGGCUGGACAGUAUCAUCAUAGUUUUUUUUUUGGAAAGAGCUGCAAGUUCCAUUGAAUACUGAUGAUGUCUCUGGUAUGGUGUGUCUUGUAAAAAUGACUGCGUAGAGAAAUAUAGGAGGUUUUUUCAGACACUGGUGAGAUGGCUCCUGCAAGGCUGAGGAAAAAAAAGUUCACAUCAGCUAAAGAUUUCAAAACUCAAAAGUGUGCCUAGAAUGAGGAUCCUGGUGACUGUGGUGUUUAAAAGCCGUGAAGUAUAUUGAGUGUAAGGCGAGUGGUUGCGGUUUUGUGGACUUUCUGACCGGUGCAUCCCGACAACGCGUAUGAAGUUAGCUGCUGAGAUCUAUGAUGAGGUUGCGGAUAUGUAGUUGUAUUUCAUGUUUUAGAAACCAAACUUAUUUACUACUUUGUUGAGUUGUGAACAUAUCUUUAUUUUCUUGUCCAGUGGUUAAUGUUAAUUUACUUUGAAAGAGUC